rnacentral:tRNA from 1 species
UCGAUGCUGGUGAAAUUGGUAAACACGCUCGAUUUAAAAUUGAGUGCUUUUUAGCUUAAACGUUCGACUCGUUUGCUUCGAA